rnacentral:rRNA from 1 species
GCCGCUUACCCGCAGUGGGACGAAAAGACCCUGUGCACCUUUACUAUAGCUUAGUAUUGACCUUGGAUAAAUGAUGUGUAGGAUAGGUUGGAGACUGUGAAGUGGCGUCGCUAGGCGUUGUGGAGUCAUUGUUGAAAUACAACCCUUUGUUUAUCUGAGGCCUAACCCCGCGCUUGCGGGGGACAUUGCUUGGUGGGUAGUUUGACUGGGGUGGUCGCCUCCAAAAGAGUAACGGAGGCUUCUAAAGGUUCCCUCAGUACGCUUGGUAACCGUGCGUAGAGUGCAAUGGCAUAAGGGAGCUUGACUGAGAGACAUACAGGUCGAUCAGGUACGAAAGUAGAGCA